ACAGCCGUACACGUGUCCGGCCUCUACGGGUAUCCACACAGUCUUUGUGUUGAUCGAUCUCUUCGAGAGAGCUAGCUCGCGAAGAUAUCAUGCUUUGGUUGAUCUAAGAGAAACACAAAGAAGAUGAAGAAUAAGGAGACCCUCUUCUUUUCUUCUUAGAUCCAUACCCACACAUCAGAUCUCUACAAUAGAGAUCAAGAGAAGAAUCCUUUCUUCUCCAUUCUUCCACGCAUAAGAG
rnacentral:lncRNA from 1 species